GUGCUCUCUUCAACAGCACAUAUACUAAAAUUGGAGCGAUGCAGAGAAGCUUAGCAUGGCUCCUGCCCAAGAAUGACAUGCAAACUCAUGAAGUGUUCCAUGUUAAA
ensembl:snRNA U6 U6 spliceosomal RNA